rnacentral:rRNA from 1 species
GACGUAGGGCGCGAGCGUUGUCCGGAUUUAUUGGGCGUAAAGAGCUCGUAGGCGGCUUGUCGCGUCGACUGUGAAAACCCACGGCUUAACUGUGGGCUUGCAGUCGAUACGGGCAGGCUAGAGUUCGGUAGGGGAGACUGGAAUUCCUGGUGUAGCGGUGAAAUGCGCAGAUAUCAGGAGGAACACCGGUGGCGAAGGCGGGUCUCUGGGCCGUAACUGACGCUGAUGCGCGAAAGCCAGGGGAGCAAACAGG